rnacentral:rRNA from 1 species
GUGGAGGACCGAACCCGCUAGCGUUGAAAAGCUAUGGGAUGACUUGUGGAUAGGGGUGAAAGGCCAAUCAAACAUCGUGAUAGCUGGUUCUCUCCGAAAUAUAUUGAGGUAUAGCGUCGUGUAGUAGUUAUAAGGGGUAGAGCACUGAAUGGGCUAGGGCAUACACCAAUGUACCAAACCCUAUCAAACUCCGAAUACCUAGUGCGUAAUCAUGGCAGUCAGGCGGCGAGUGAUAAAAUCCGUCGUCGAGAGGGGAACAACCCAGACUAACAGCUAAGGUCCCUAAAUCUCAUUUAAGUGGAAAACGAUGUGAAGUUACUUAAACAACCAGGAGGUUGGCUUAGAAGCAGCCAUCCUUUAAAGAAAGCGUAAUAGCUCACUGGUCUAGUGAUUUUGCGCGGAAAAUAUAACGGGGCUAAAAUGAGUACCGAAGCUUUAGACUUAGUUUUACUAAGUGGUAGGAGAGCGUUGCAUUCAGCGUCGAAGGUGUACCGGUAAGGAGCGCUGGAGCGAAUGCAAGUGAGCAUGCAGGCAUGAGUAGCGAUAAUUGGGGUGAGAAUCCCCAACGCCGUAAACCCAAGGUUUCCUACGCGAUGCUCGUCAUCGUAGGGUUAGCCGGGUCCUAAGCAAAGUCCGAAAGGGGUAUGCGAUGGAAAAUUGGUUAAUAUUCCAAUGCCAACUAUAAUGUGCGAUGGAAGGACGCUUAGAGUUAGAGGAGCCAGCGGAUGGUAGUGCUGGUCGAAAGGUGUAGGUUAAGAUCCAGGCAAAUCCGGAUCUUUUUAAGCCGAGACCCCACAGGCACACAAAGUUCUUCGGAACAGCGUGUGAAUCCUUGAUACUGUCGAGCCAAGAAAAGUUUCUAAGUUUAGUUAUAGUUGCCCGUACCGUAAACCGACACAGGUGGGUGGGAUGAGUAUUCUAAGGCGCGUGGAAGAACUCUCUUCAAGGAACUCUGCAAAAUAGCACCGUAUCUUCGGUAUAAGGUGUGCCUAGCUUCGUUAAGAAUUUACUUCGUAAGCGAAGAAGGUUACAACAAAGAGUCCCUCCCGACUGUUUACCAAAAACACAGCACUCUGCUAACUCGUAAGAGGAUGUAUAGGGUGUGACGCCUGCCCGGUGCUCGAAGGUUAAUUGAUGACGUUAGCUCUGCGAAGCGUUUGAUCGAAGCCCGAGUAAACGGCGGCCGUAACUAUAACGGUCCUAAGGUAGCGAAAUUCCUUGUCGAUUAAAUAUCGACCUGCAUGAAUGGCGUAACGAGAUGGGAGCUGUCUCGAAGAGGGAUCCAGUGAAAUUGUAGUGGAGGUGAAAAUUCCUCCUACCCGCGGCAAGACGGAGAGACCCCGUGGACCUUUACUAUAGCUUGACACUGCUACUUGGAUAAAGAUGCGCAGGAUAGGUGGGAGGCUUUGAUUCGUAGAUCUCGGUUUACGAUGAGCCAUUGUUGAGAUACCACCCUUCUUUAUUCGGGUAGCUAACUAGCCUAAGUUAUCCUUAGGUAGGACAAUGUCUGGUGGGUAGUUUGACUGGGGCGGUCGCCUCCCAAAAUGUAACGGAGGCUUACAAAGGUUGGCUCAAAGCGGUUGGAAAUCGCUUGCAGAGUAUAAAGGCAAAAGCCAGCUUAACUGCGAGACAUACACGUCGAGCAGAGACGAAAGUCGGUCUUAGUGAUCCGGUGGUUCUGUGUGGAAGGGCCAUCGCUCAAAGGAUAAAAGGUACCCCGGGGAUAACAGGCUGAUCUCCCCCAAGAGCUCACAUCGACGGGGAGGUUUGGCACCUCGAUGUCGGCUCAUCGCAUCCUGGGGCU